GGGAAUAUUCCACAAUGGGCGAAAGCCUGAUGGAGCAACGCCGCGUGUGUGAUGAAGGCUUUCGGGUCGUAAAGCACUGUUGUAUGGGAAGAACGGCUUUAAUAGGAAAUGAUUUUAGUUUGACGGUACCAUACCAGAAAGGGACGGCUAAAUACGUGCCAGCAGCCGCGGUAAUAA
rnacentral:rRNA from 1 species